GGCCACGGUGCGAGUAGGUGUCUAGAUAAAGCAGCUCUGACUGACUCUCACUGCCUCAGAUGGUAACAGCGGCUCCCAGGCAUUCCCAGUCACCUGUUAACGUUGACGCUUCAGUACUCUCAUGCUAUUUGUCAUGUAGAGAAUACAGCUGGCUCUGGAGCUUGCAGGCCCAUGUGUAGGUAUGAACAGGAACUUUGUUGCUGGAAUCACCACACAGGGGAUGUGGGACACUCUGUAAUGGCUGUUGAGAUUAGUUAGAGACAUUUUGCUCUGUCAUAGGAGACAUACGUUGGAGGCAUGGUGUCCGCCAUCUUGGGAAGGUAGUUGCUCAAACAGAGCUCGCCGAGAUUCCCAACAGGCCUCAGCUCCUCCAGUUUUAGAUGUCUGCGGUGUAGGUGCCCCUGAGAUGUAGAGUGCUGUGUUAAUCUACUCCAACCGGGGAGGCAUGGGGAUCGAUUCAGGGGCUUCUGAAUCAGCCGCUUCCCUCUUACCUGCGUCUCCAGGUAGGCCGCAAGGCUUCCACGAUAACAAACGCAUUUAAAUAUGUUGAUGACACACACUUGGUGGGCCUGCACAGUAGCUGAAGAGCCCCAGUAUUAAUAUAGGGCCUGUAAGCCCCUAAAAUGGAGAAAAUAAAGCAAUCUGCAUGGAGCUCAGACAAGAUGUGGCAGAGCAGCUAGGCAGUCAAGCCCCACGCUCUAUGUUAAUUCCCAGCUUUGGGAAGGGUGAGCAUGGGACAGGAAUGGGUUAGGAAUAGGGUACAUGUGGAUAGUAAUAGCAUACAGGCAAGUAAAUAAUGCAAUUAGUGAAACUGAUCCCAUACCUGGCCGUAAGGGUAAG